ACGAACUCGCUUUUCCGAUCGUCAAAGUUUUUCCAAAAUAAAAUCUUGGAUUCAUUAGUAAUCCUCUGUUUUUCCUAAUGAUUUCAAAGCUCCGGUUUUCUUCAUGGAGAGAGGCCACCAAACAAGAUUUUCUUUUGUUGUUCUUAAACAUCAAAGAAGGAAAUGAAGAUUUCGGUUUGAAAAAUGCAAAUGAGGACUUGAGAAAGAGGAGAGACUCUCUUGUUUUGAGAGAGAGAGAUGAGAGAGAGAGAGAGAGAUUUGUUGGGUAAAUAUGGUUUUUGGAGAGGUUUAACAUUUUUUUUUCAUAAAUAUGUUAUUGGUGGUCGGUGGUCAUUAUAUUUUCUAAUAAAUGUUUUUGAGUUUAUGUGUAUAUAAGAAGACAAAACUAUAUUUUUCUUAAUAUUU